UACAGAGGCCACAAGCGGUAAUCGGAAUCACUGGGCUUAAAGGGUGCGUAGGCGGUCCCGCAAGUGCUUUGUGAAAUCCCAUCGCUCAACGAUGGAAUGGCUCGGCAUACUGCGGGACUUGAGGUCGGUAGAGGUCGUCGGAACAGUAGGUGGAGCGGUGAAAUGCGUAGAUAUCUACUGGAACGCCAAAGGUGAAGACAGGCGACUGGGCUGAUUCUGACGCUGAGGCACGAAAGCGUGGGCAGCGAACGGG
rnacentral:rRNA from 1 species